rnacentral:rRNA from 1 species
GACGAACCGUGCGAACGUUAUUCGGAAUCACUGGGCUUAAAGCGCGUGUAGGCGGGAGGGCACGUCCGUCGCUGAAAUCCCCCGGCUCAACCGGGGAACGGGCGCGGAUACGACCUUCCUGGAGGGGUGUAGGGGGACCUGGAACUUCCGGUGGAGCGGUGAAAUGCGUUGAGAUCGGAAGGAACGCCCGUGGCGAAAGCGAGGUCCUGGACGCCUACUGACGCUGAGACGCGAAAGCCAGGGGAGCGAACGGG